GAACCUGCGGAAGGAUCAUUGUCGAAAUCGAACGGAAGAACGACCCGCGAAUCGUCGUUGCGUACCAGACAGAGCCCGUGAGCACCUAACGCUCAUGGGGCUCGCGUCGUGUCGGCGCGGGUGUGUACUCGAGACCCGCGUCGUACCGGCGGACAAACAAUGUCAGCACGGACCGUGCCAAGGAGCUUUACGGAGAGAAUCGCCGUCCCACGCCUUUGACGGUCCUCGAUGCGGGACGGGGGGCGAGGGAUGUASGCGAUCUCUACUCAAGUCAAAACGACUCUCGGCAACGGAUAUCUCGGCUCUUGCAUCGAUGAAGAACGUAGCGAAAUGCGAUACUUGGUGUGAAUUGCAGAAUCCCGCGAACCAUCAAUUCUUUGAACGCAAGUUGCGCCCGAAGCCAUUCGGCCGAGGGCACGCCUGCCUGGGUGUCGUGAAUCCCCUUGCCCCUAGGCACCCCGCAUGAGCAUUGGCGGGGACAUAUGCUCGGGCGCAGAAUAUGGUCUCCCGCGGGAUCGGCAUGCGCGGCAUGUCRAGGUGCGGUUGGCCGAAAAUCGAGCAUGGCGGUGACGGGCACCACGGCGUUCGGUGGAUCGAAUGAGAUUGGCUGCGCCGUGGGCUCGGCAUGCGGCGGGCUCCGGACUUUGAAUAUCCCCGAGUGCGAUCCCAGGUCAGGCGGGGCUACCCGCUGAGUUUNAG
rnacentral:rRNA from 1 species